UGUUUAAAGAUGCGUUUACAUCGUGUACAUUCGUUUUACAAUAUAUGAGUUUAUAAUAUAGCAGACGGGCCCGCCCCGAGAGGCUUCCCCCGUCUCACGAGUUCACAGGUGUGUGUGGAUGAAAGAGAAGGCGUGCACAUGCCCCCGGGGGGGCCAGCUACAACCGACUCUAUAUUCAUUCAAUAAUGAUCCUUCCGCAGGUUCACCUACGGAAA
rnacentral:misc_RNA from 1 species